AACUGUACCUAUUCCGAAUUUACAACAAUCGCUAACAGAGCAAUAUGACUGUAUGAUAUGAGGGCAGUGAACUAAUUGACCAUGCGGCGCUACCUUCGUGGGUUCAAAGUAGAUACAAAAUUAAGGGGGAAAUCAUAACAAAGAGUGAAUUCGGAAACCAUGGGUG